CAGCCGCCGCGGGAAUACGAGGGAGGCAAGCGUUGUUCGGAAUUAUUGGGCGUAAAGGGCGCGUAGGCGGUUUGGCAAGUUUGGUGUGAAAUCUUCGGGCUCAACUCGAAGUCUGCAUCGAAAACUGCCGGGCUUGAGUAUGGGAGAGGUGAGUGGAAUUUCCGGUGUAGCGGUGAAAUGCGUAGAUAUCGGAAGGAACACCUGUGGCGAAAGCGGCUCACUGGACCAUAACUGACGCUGAGGCGCGAAAGCUAGGGGAGCAAACAGGAUUAGAUACCCCAGUAGUCCCUGUCUCUUAUAC
rnacentral:rRNA from 1 species